ACGAACGCUGGCGGCGUGCCUAAUACAUGCAAGUCGAGCGGAAUGAUGAAGAAGCUUGCUUCUUCUGAUUUUAGCGGCGGACGGGUGAGUAACACGUGGGCAACCUACCUUGUAGAUUGGGAUAACUCCGGGAAACCGGGGCUAAUACCGAAUAAUCCAUUUUGCUUCAUGGCGAGAUGUUAAAAGGCGGCUUCGGCUGUCACUACGAGAUGGGCCCGCGGCGCAUUAGCUAGUUGGUAGGGUAAUGGCCUACCAAGGCGACGAUGCGUAGCCGACCUGAGAGGGUGAUCGGCCACACUGGGACUGAGACACGGCCCAGACUCCUACGGGAGGCAGCAGUAGGGAAUCUUCCACAAUGGACGAAAGUCUGAUGGAGCAACGCCGCGUGAGUGAAGAAGGUUUUCGGAUCGUAAAACUCUGUUGUAAGGGAAGAACACGUACGAGAGUAACUGCUCGUACCUUGACGGUACCUUAUUAGAAAGCCACGGCUAACUAUGUG
rnacentral:rRNA from 1 species